AAAAAUAUUUUUUAUUUUAGUAUUUUUAAGAAUUAAUAUUUUAUAUUUUUUGUACUGUGAAGGAAUCUAUUUUUUAAAAUUUAAGUAUCUUUUAUUUUGAGUACCUUUUGCAUCAGGGUUUAUUAAAAUAAAUAAAUUAUUUUGUUUUCUCGAAAUUUUAAGAUUUAAGAUUGAAUGUAUUUUCAUGUAAUAAAAUGAUUUACAAUUUAAUUUUAGAGGUUAUAUGCCUUUCAUUUAGAGUGAUAUCUAGUUUUUUAAUAAAUGAAUUUAAUUCAUUCUUAAUUUAGUUUUAAUUUAAUUUUAUUUUUAUAAUAUAUUAAGUGAAGUUUAUGGGGGAUAAUCUCUGUAUAUUUUUUAAAAGUUUGUCUAUUAAAGAUUUUUUAUAGGAUUGAAAAUUUUCUUUAUUUAUUUUGUAAAAAUUAUUUUUCUUUUAUUUUGAUUUUUUAUUUUCUUUAAUUAUUUAUUAGAAUUUUUUUUAUAAUUUUAUUUAAAAAGUAAUAAUGAUAAAAUUAGUAAUUUUUAUAAUUUAUUAAUAGGAACUCGGCAAUUAUUAUUUUCACCUGUUUAACAAAAACAUGGUUUUUUGAUUUUUAAUAUAAAAUCGGACCUGCCCAUUGAUUAUAUAUUAAAAGGCUGCGGUAUUUUAACUGUACGAAGGUAGCAUAAUCAUUUGUCUUUUAAUUGGAGGCUGGAAUGAAUGGUUUGAUGAAAAAUAGACUUUCUUUUUAUAAUUUUUUUGAAUUUAAUUUUUUAGUUAAAAAGCUAAAAUUUUUUUAUAGGACGAGAAGACCCUAUAGAAGUUUACUAAUUUUUAUAUAAUUUUGUUUUUAGUUUAUAUUAUUUUUUUAUUUAAAAAUUAGUUUUGUUGGGGUGACAUUAAAAUUUAUUUAACUUUUAAUAAUUUUUUCAUUAAUUUAUGUUUUAUUUUGAUCCAAAAUUUUUUGAUUACAAGAUUAACUUACCUUAGGGAUAACAGCGUAAUUUUUUCGGAGAGUUCAUAUCGAUGAAUAAGUUUGCGACCUCGAUGUUGAAUUAAGAUUAGUAGCAGGUGUAAAAUUUUGCUUUCUUGGUCUGUUCGACCAUUAAAUUCUUACAUGAUUUGAGUUCAGACCGGCGUGAGCCAGGUCGGUUUCUAUCCUUAUUUUAUGUAAAUUAGUACGAAAGGACCAUUUACAUUAAUUAAAUUAUUUAAUUUUUGAAUAAAAUUA
rnacentral:rRNA from 1 species